rnacentral:rRNA from 1 species
AAAUAGAAUACUGAAACCAUGUGCUUACAAAAAGUCAAAGUCCGUUAAUGGAUGAUGGCGUGCCUUUUGCAGAAUGAACCGGCGAGUUAAUGUUGCAUGCGAGGUUAAGUUGAAGAGACGGAGCCGUAGCGAAAGCGAGUCUUAAUAGGGCGAAUUAGUAUGUAGUAUUAGACCCGAAACCGAGUGAUCUAGCCAUGAGCAGGUUGAAGUUUAGGUAAAACUAAAUGGAGGACCGAACCGACGUACCCGGAAACGUGCGCGGAUGACUUGUGGCUAGCGGUGAAAUUCCAAACGAACUCGGAUAUAGCUGGUUCUCCCCGAAAUAGGUUUAGGCCUAGCCUUGAGAUUUAGCACUGUGGAGGUAGAGCACUGAAUAUAUGAUGGCCCCGUCUAGGGGUACUGAAUGUAAUCAAACUCCGAAUGCCAUGGUUGUAUGCUCAGGAGUCAGCGUAUGGGUGAUAACGUCCAUGCGCGAAAGGAAAAGAGUCCGGAUCGCCAGUUAAGGUCCCAAAAUUUGUACUAAGUGGGAAAGGAUGUGGAGUUGUCAAAACAGCUAGGAGGUUGGCUCAGAAGCAGCCAUCCUUUAAAGAGUGCGUAAUAGCUCACUAGUCGAGUGACACUGCGCCGAAGAUGUACCGGGGCUAAGUACAAUACCGAAACUGCGGAUUCACAUUUAUAUGUGAGUGGUAGGGGAGCGUUCCAAGUUGAGUUGAAGGUAGACCGUGAGGACUGCUGGAUUACUUGGAAGUGAGAAUGCCGGUGUGAGUAGCGCAAGAUGGGUGAGAAUCCCAUCCACCGUUUGACUAAGGGUUCCUGGGGCAGGUUCGUCCGCCCAGGGUUAGUCGGGUCCUAAGACGAGGCCGAGAGGCGUAGCCGAUGGACAACAGGUUGAUAUUCCUGUACUACCUAUAAGACUGAUGGAGUGACGGAGAAGGUUAGGAAAAGCCAGUUAUUGGAUUCUGGUCUAAGCACAAAGGCUUAUAAAUUAGGAAAUCUGUUUAUAAUUAAGCUGAAGUGUGAUGGUGAAGUCGCUUGCGACGAAAUUUUCUGACACCAUGCUUCCAAGAAAAGCUUCUAGGGUUAAUCUUAUAGGUACCCGUACUCAGAACCGACACAGGUGGUCAAGGAGAGUAUCCUAAGGUGAGCGAGAGAACUAUGGUUAAGGAACUCGGCAAAAUAACCCCGUAACUUCGGGAGAAGGGGUGGUCACUAGAUGACCGACACUAAAGACGCCCAGGCAACUGUUUACCAAAAACACAGGUCUCUGCUAAGUCGUAAGACGAUGUAUAGGGGCUGACACCUGCCCAGUGCUGGAAGGUUAAGAGGAGUGCUUAGAUAGACGCAAGUCGAUUAUUCGAAGGUACGAAUUGAAGCCCCAGUGAACGGCGGCCGUAACUAUAACGGUCCUAAGGUAGCGAAAUUCCUUGUCAGGUAAGUUCUGACCCGCACGAAAGGUGUAAUGAUCUGGGCACUGUCUCAACCAUAGACUCGGUGAAAUCUUAAUACCUGUGAAAAUGCAGGUUACCCGCAACAGGACGGUAAGACCCCAUGGAGCUUUACUGUAGCUUGAUAUUGAAGUUCGGUAUAUUAUGUAGAGAAUAGGUGGGAGACUAUGAAGUUAGGACGCUAGUUCUAAUGGAGUCACCUUUGGAAUACCACCCUUAAUGUAUUGAAUUUCUAACCUCGAUUCAUUAUCUGGAUCAGGGACAGUGUCUGGUGGGCAGUUUGACUGGGGCGGUCGCCUCCCAAAAAGUAACGGAGGCGCCCAAAGGUUCCCUCAGAAUGGUUGGACAUCAUUCAAAGAGCGUAAAGGUAUAAGGGAGCUUGACUGCGAGACCAACAAGUCGAGCAGAUACGAAAGUAGGGCUUAGUGAUCAGACGAUUCAGAAUGGAAUGGUCGUCGCUUAACGGAUAAAAGUUACCCUGGGGAUAACAGGCUGAUACCACCCAAUAGUUCACAUAGACGGU